UGGGGAAUUUUGCACAAUGGGGGCAACCCUGAUGCAGCGACGCCGCGUGAUUUAGAAGGCCUUCGGGUUGUAAAAAUCUUUUCUAUGGGAAGAAAAUGACAGUACCAUAGGAAUAAGGACCGGCUAAUUACGUGCCAGCAGCCGCGGUAAUACGUAGGUCCCGAGCGUUGUCCGGAUUUAUUGGGCGUAAAGCGAGCGCAGGCGGUUAGAAAAGUCUGAAGUGAAAGGCAGUGGCUCAACCAUUGUAGGCUUUGGAAACUGUUUAACUUGAGUGCAGAAGGGGAGAGUGGAAUUCCAUGUGUAGCGGUGAAAUGCGUAGAUAUAUGGAGGAACACCGGUGGCGAAAGCGGCUCUCUGGUCUGUAACUGACGCUGAGGCUCGAAAGCGUGGGGAGCGAACAGG
rnacentral:rRNA from 1 species